rnacentral:rRNA from 1 species
AGUGAACGCUGGCGGUAGGCCUAACACAUGCAAGUCGAACGGCAGCACAGUAAGAGCUUGCUCUUACGGGUGGCGAGUGGCGGACGGGUGCGGAAUACAUCGGAAUUUACUUUUUCGUGGGGGAUAACGUAGGGAAACUUACGCUAAUACCGCAUACGACCUACGGGUGAAAGCAGGGGAUCUUCGGACCUUGCGCGAUUGAAUGAGCCGAUGUCGGAUUAGCUAGUUGGCGGGGUAAAGGCCCACCAAGGCGACGAUCCGUAGCUGGUCUGAGAGGAUGAUCAGCCACACUGGAACUGAGACACGGUCCAGACUCCUACGGGAGGCAGCAGUGGGGAAUAUUGGACAAUGGGCGCAAGCCUGAUCCAGCCAUACCGCGUGGGUGAAGAAGGCCUUCGGGUUGUAAAGCCCUUUUGUUGGGAAAGAAGAGCAGCAGGUUAAUACCCCGCUGUUCUGACGGUACCCAAAGAAUAAGCACCGGCUAACUUCGUG